rnacentral:rRNA from 1 species
GACGAACGCUGGCGGCGUGCCUAAUACAUGCAAGUAGAACGCUGAAGAGAGGAGCUUGCUCUUCUUGGAUGAGUUGCGAACGGGUGAGUAACGCGUAGGUAACCUGCCUGGUAGCGGGGGAUAACUAUUGGAAACGAUAGCUAAUACCGCAUAAAAUUGAUUAUUGCAUGAUAAUUAAUUGAAAGAUGCAACUGCAUCACUACCAGAUGGACCUGCGUUGUAUUAGCUAGUUGGUGAGGUAACGGCUCACCAAGGCGACGAUACAUAGCCGACCUGAGAGGGUGAUCGGCCACACUGGGACUGAGACACGGCCCAGACUCCCACGGGAGGCAGCAGUAGGGAAUCUUCGGCAAUGGGGGGAACCCUGACCGAGCAACGCCGCGUGAGUGAAGAAGGUUUUCGGAUCGUAAAGCUCUGUUGUAAGAGAAGAACGGGUGUGAGAGUGGAAAGUUCACACUGUGACGGUAUCUUACCAGAAAGGGACGGCUAACUACGUGCCAGCAGCCGCGGUAAUACGUAGGUCCCGAGCGUUGUCCGGAUUUAUUGGGCGUAAAGCGAGCGCAGGCGGUUAGAUAAGUCUGAAGUUAAAGGCUGUGGCUUAACCAUAGUAUGCUUUGGAAACUGUUUAACUUGAGUGCAGAAGGGGAGAGUGGAAUUCCAUGUGUAGCGGUGAAAUGCGUAGAUAUAUGGAGGAACACCGGUGGCGAAAGCGGCUCUCUGGUCUGUAACUGACGCUGAGGCUCGAAAGCGUGGGGAGCAAACAGGAUUAGAUACCCUGGUAGUCCACGCCGUAAACGAUGAGUGCUAGGUGUUAGGCCCUUUCCGGGGCUUAGUGCCGCAGCUAACGCAUUAAGCACUCCGCCUGGGGAGUACGACCGCAAGGUUGAAACUCAAAGGAAUUGACGGGGGCCCGCACAAGCGGUGGAGCAUGUGGUUUAAUUCGAAGCAACGCGAAGAACCUUACCAGGUCUUGACAUCCCUCUGACCGCUCUAGAGAUAGAGUUUUCCUUCGGGACAGAGGUGACAGGUGGUGCAUGGUUGUCGUCAGCUCGUGUCGUGAGAUGUUGGGUUAAGUCCCGCAACGAGCGCAACCCCUAUUGUUAGUUGCCAUCAUUCAGUUGGGCACUCUAGCGAGACUGCCGGUAAUAAACCGGAGGAAGGUGGGGAUGACGUCAAAUCAUCAUGCCCCUUAUGACCUGGGCUACACACGUGCUACAAUGGCUGGUACAACGAGUCGCAAGCCGGUGACGGCAAGCUAAUCUCUGAAAGCCAGUCUCAGUUCGGAUUGUAGGCUGCAACUCGCCUACAUGAAGUCGGAAUCGCUAGUAAUCGCGGAUCAGCACGCCGCGGUGAAUACGUUCCCGGGCCU